CUGAGCCCUGACCAGGCAUAGUUCUAGAAUGUUACCAGAGUGACAGAAUCAGGAGGUAAACAACAUAAGCUAUUCAGGUCAUUCAUGUUCUCAAGAACAACCACCCUUCAAUGAGCAGGCACCUGGACUUGUUGAAAACAUUAGAGCCGACUUCACUCUUCCACCACGAAUCAGAAGUGGAAGAAAAGUAUCUGUGUAUGGAGACUGGCAGCGGCUCAAAGAGGAACACCACCGCAUUGUCCCUGCAGCCUCUGUCUGUGCCAGCAGUCUCUGAUGGUGGAAGAAGUUUGGCAGGCUGGAAGGUGCCGCAGGAGAAACCCUCAAUGAAUGAGAGGCAGGAACUGGUGUAUAGUACUGGACAGAAGGAAGAUUCUGAGAAGAUAGCAUCUGCUGAGAGCCUUUUAAAAACGGAAAGAGAAGCUACUGCAGGUUUAGUGGAUACAAUGUGAAGAGCUGUCUUUCCUGAAUCACAAACAGCAGCAGAUGAAAAGGAGAAAGUAACUAAAGGUCAUCGCACACUCACGGCCUUCUGAGUUUGGGGCUUUCCUUUUUCCUCUGACUACUACACUGCAAUCUAUUUACAUGCUGUUUUCUUUGUCAGAUUGAGCAAAACAGGCAGGCCAAAAGCGAUUAUUUUCCAGAAGCUCUGCUUGUUUAGUGUCAUGGGAAUUGGAGUUUGUUAUCUGGUACAUUUGGGAGUCACAGCAAAGGCUCCACAUUGUUUAUGGAUUGCUUUCCUAGUUUGGCAUUUCUACCAUCCUUACUCUUCCAGAUGGCUUUCAGGUGCACCUGUCCACCUUCUCAUGGAUGUGAAAGUGUGGCUGAUGUUCAACUGUCCCAGGCUGCCCUGCACUCGUCCCAGAAUCAUUAGGAGCAGAGAAGUUUUAAAACACACAGGAAGCAG
rnacentral:lncRNA from 1 species